CUGAGAUAUGGGGAGCGCCUCUGCCCCGCCGCCCCAUCUGGGAUGCGAGGAGCGCCUCUGCCCGGCCGCGACCCCGUCUGGGAGUUGUUCAUGUAUUCUAGAGGAAAAGAAAGGAAUAUCAUUAUAUACUGCUUAUGGGAUUCUGUGCUGCGGAGAUCAUUACGGAAGCAACAGUAGCAGGUGGCCUGGCCAUACAGGGAUUCCUUACUCGCAGCAGAGAAUGUUGCUGCCACUCAAAGUCACCAGGGGCUGAAGAGCUCCUGUGGAGACCCACAUCAUCUAACAACACACAUACUCAAAACAGGGAAAUGUGCAUUUUCGGGAGAGGAAGAGACAAACCUUUUGUUUAGCUAACUGGCAUGACAGAGUGUGACAUACAUGUGCUCCUGGAAGAACGGUGUUGGGUGUCUGCACUCAAAAUCUUGAGCAUAGGCAACUGGAUGAAGGGCUCUGUGGCAUUGAUUUUCAUUGUGUGUGUGUUAAUAUUUACAUUUAUAAUUAAAUAAAUAAUCGAAAUUAUGCUGAACUGAAA
rnacentral:lncRNA from 1 species